GCCAGCAAGUAAACAAUGACUGUCCCAGGAAGGAGGAAAGGGAGCAAGCAGGUGUGACCUUCUCCGCCCGCCCCUUCCUUUCCCCCCUCUGGGUCUGGAGCACUGAGAACUUACUUGGCUU
ensembl:miRNA Mir8100 microRNA 8100